GAUGAAGAAAUUGGACACUUGUGUCAGAAAGUUCAAAGCAGCAUUAAUUGAAAUCUUUACAUCAUUAUUAUUUAUUCUUUCUUACGAGAACCUGGUGCUACGAAAGGGACAGAUACCACAUACAAGCUAGAUUACAAGGAAGAAGGAAGAUACCAUCCAGUACAAUGCUCACUUGGCUAAUUUUUCCCAGAACAGUAAAAGUCCUUGAGAUGCAAAGAAAAGAGGAAUGCAAUCAUGAAGAAGUGAAGGACAGGCACAGUCAAGGAAAUAUCUGGAGGAAAUAGAGAGAGAGGGACACAGAGGGUUUAGGGACGAUGGCAAACUCUGCUGAAAGGCCCGAACAAGAUUUGCAGCAUUGGGGAUGUUUUGCUGAAGACUUAGUGGCUGGGCACCUGGGACUACGCUGGACCCUUAGUGGCUAGGAACUGGAGACUACACUGGAGACUUUUAAAGGUUUGCAAGUGGAGAAGUUGAGGUAGAAUUAGCUGUGGGCUGCCAGGGACGACGCUGCAGACUUAGUAGAUGGAAUCAGGAGACAUCAGUGGUGACUUAGUGACAGGGGACCGGAAUAAGGCUAGAUGAUGAUGCUGGAGACUUAGCUCUGGGGAUUGG